GACUCCUACGAGAGCCGAACUCCGCCAACAACUUCAAUCGCAAGUGGACUCCGCCCGGACUCCUAUGGGAGCCGGGCUCCGUCCUCAACGUCAGCUGCCGGUAAGCCCUGUCCGGACUCCUACGGGAGCCGGACUUUGCAUCUGAUUUCGAUUGCAGGGGAUUCCACCCGGACUCCCACGGGAGCCGGGCUCCACCCACUACCCCAACCACAAGGAGGACUCCGCCCGGACCCCUACGUGGGGUCAGACUCCGACCACAGCCGAACUUCAGCUGAC
rnacentral:lncRNA from 1 species